UUGGGGCAUAGGGUUUAGGUUUUAGGGUUUUAGGGUAUAGGGUUUAGGGUAUAGGGUUUAGGGUUUAGGGUAUAGGGUUUAGGGUAUAGGGUUUAGGGUAUAGGGUUUAGGGUAUAGGGUUUAGGGUUUAGGGUUUAGGGUAUAGGGUUUAGGGUUUAGGGUUUAGGGUUUAGGGUAUAGGGUUUAGGGUUUAGGGUAUAGGGUAUAGGGUAUAGGGUAUAGGGUUUAGGGUUUAGGGUAUAGGGUAUAGGGUUUAGGGUUUAGGGUUUAGCGUUCUAGGGUUUUAGGGUUUAGGCGUUUAGGGUUUAGGUUUAGGUUUUAGGGUUUAUGGUUAGGUUUAGGGCUUUAGGUUUGAGGGUUUAGGUUUAGGGUUUAGGGUUUAGGUUUUAGGGUUUUAGGGUUUAGGUUUAGGUUUAGGGUUAGGUUUAGGUUUUAGGUUUUAGUUUAGGGUUUUAGGGUUUUAGGUUAGGGUUUAGGUUUAGUCCGUUUAGGUUUAGGUUUUUAGGUUUAGGGUUUUAGGGUUUAGGGUUUAGGUUAGGUUAGGUUAGGGUUUAGGUGUAGGGUUUAGGGUUAGGGUUAGGUUUAGGGGUUUAGGGUUAGGGUUUAGGGUUUAGGGGUUUAGGGUUUAGGGUUUAGGUUGGUAGGGUUGUUAGGUUUAGGGUUAGGGUUUAGGGUUGGGUUAGUUAGGGUUUAGGGUUUAGGGUUUAGGGUUUUAGUUUAAGGGUUUAGGGUUUAGUUUUAGGGGUUAGGUUUAGGUUUAGGGUUAGGGUUUAGGUUUAGUAGGGUUUUAGUUUAGGGUUUAGGUUAGGGUUUAGGUUAGGGUUUAGGGUUUAGGGUUUAGCGGUUUAGGGUUUAGGUUUUAGGGUUAGGUUAUUUUAGUGGGUUUAUGGUUUAGGUUUAGGGUUAGGUUAGGUUUAGGUUUAGUUUAGGUUAGGGUUAGGGUUUAGGGUUUAGGGUGUUAGGUUUAGGUUUAGGGUUUAGGGUUUAGGGUUUAGGUUUAGGUUUAGUAGGGUUUAGGGUUAGUUUAGGGUUUAGUUUAGGGCUUUAGGUUUAGGUUUUAGGGUUUAGGUUAUUUUAGGUUUAUUUAGUUUAGGUUUAGGGUUUAGUUUAGGUUUAGGUUUUAGGUUUAGGGUUAUGGUUAGUUAGUUUAGUGUUUAGUUUUAGUUUAGGGUUUAGGUUUAGGUUUAGGUUUAGUUUAGUUAGGGUUGUUAGGGUUUAGGUUUAGGGUUUUAGGGUUUAGGGUUUAGUUUAGUAGGGUUUAGUUAUUUAGGGUUUAGGGUUUAGGUUUAGCGGUUUAGGGUUUAAGGUUUCUAGGGUUUAGGUUUAGGGUUUCAGGUUAGCGGUUAGGUAGGGUUUAGGGUUUAGGGUUUAAGGGUUUACGGUUUAGGGUUUAGGGUUUAGGGGUUUAGGGUUUCUAGGGGUUUAGGGUUAGGUUUAGGGGUUUAGGGUUUAGGUUUUGUAGUUUAGGGUUUUAGGUUUAGGGUUUAGUGUUUAGGAGUUUAGGUUUUUAGGGUUAGGGUUUAGGGUUUAGGGUUUAGGGUUUAGGGUUUGAGUUGUAGUUUUUAGGGUUUAGGGUUUUAGGGUUUAGGGCUUUUAGGCGUUUUAGGUUCUAGGUUUAGGGUUAGGGUUUUAAGGUUCUAGGGUUUAGCGGUUUGGGUUUAGGGUUUUAGGGUUUAGGGUUAGGGUUUUAGGUUUUUAGGUUUAGGGUUUAGUGUUUAGGGUUUAGGUUUAGGCGUUUUAGGGUUUAGGUUUAGGGGUUUCAGGGUUUUAGGGUUUAGGUUUAGGUUUUUAGGGUUUAGGGUUUAGGGGUUUUAGGUUUUUUAGGGUUUAGGGGUUUAGGUUUUAUGGUUUAGCGGUUUAGGGUUUAGGGUUUAGGGUUUAGGGUUUAGGUUAGGGUUUUAGGGUUAGGGUUUAGGGUUAGGGUUUAGGGUUUAGGGUUUAGGGUUCUAGAGGUUUAGGGUUUAGGGUUUAGGGUUUUAAGGUUUAGGGUUUAGGGUUAGAGUUUAGGGUUUAGGGUUUAGGGUUUAGGGUUUAGGGUUUAGGGUUUUAGGUUUAGGGUUUAGGUUUAGGUUUAGGUUUAGGGGUUUAGGGUUUAGGUUUAGUUAGGGUUUAUAUGGGUUUAGGGUUUAGGGUUUAGCGGUUUUAGGGUUUAGGGUUUAGCGGUUUUUAGGGUUUUAGGGUUUUAGGGUUUACGGGUUUAGGGUUUAGGGUAGGGUUUAGUGUUUAGGGUUAGGGUUUAGGGUUUAGUUUUUUAGGGUUUAGGGUUCUAGGGAUUUAGGUUAGGGUUUUAGGUUUAGGUUUAGGGUUUAGGGUUUACGGGUUUAGGGUUUAGGGUUUAGGGCUUUAGGGUUAGGGUUUAGGUUUAGGGUUAGGGUUUAGUUUAGGGUUUAGUUUAGGUAUAGGGUUUAGGUUUAGAGGUUUAGGGUGGUUAGGGUUUAGGGUUAGGUUUAGGUUUAGGGUUUAGGGUUUAGGGUUUAGGGUAUUUUUUUUAGGGUUUAUGUGGUUUAGCGUUAGGGUAUAGGGUUUAGUUUUAGGGUUUAGGGUUUUAGGUUUAGGGUUUAGCGGCUUUAGGUUUAGGGUUAGGUUUAGGUUUAGGGUUCUAGGUUUAGGUUUGGGUUUUAGGUUAGUUUAGGUUUAGGUUUAGGUUUAGGCGUUUAGGGUUUAGUUAAGGUUUAGGGUUUAGGGUUAGGGUUAGUUUUAGGUUUAGGGUUUACCUCCGCUCAUGUUUAGGGUUUAGUGGUUUUAGGUUUAUUAGGGUUUAGGGGUUUUAGGGUUUAGGGUUUAGGGUUAGGUUUAGGGUUUAUGGUUUGGGUUUUAGGGGUUUAGGGGUUUUAGGGUUUUAGGGUUUAGGGUUUUAGGGUUUUUUAGGGUUUAGGGUUUUAGUGUUAGGGUUUAGGGUUUAGGUGUAGGGUUUAGGUUUUAGGUUUAGGUUUAGGGUUUAGGGUUUUAGUAGGUUUUAGGGUUUAGGGUUUUAGGGUUUAGGUUUAGGUUAGGGUUUUAGGGUUUGAGGUUUAGGUGUUACGGGUUUAGGUUUAGGUUUAGGUUUAGGGUUUAGGGUUUAGGUUUAGGGUUUUUAGGUUUAGGGUUUAGGUUUAGGGUUAGGGUUUUAGGGUUUAGGGUUUAGGGUUUAGGGAUUUAGGGUUUAGGGUUAGGGUUUAGGGUUUAGGGUUUUAGGUUUAGGGUUAGCGGUUUAGGUUUUAGUCGUUCUAGGGUUUAGGGUUAGGGUUUAGGGUUUAGGUUUAGGGUUUUUAGGGUUUAGGUUUAGGGUUUAGGUUUAGGGUUUAGGUUUAGGUUUAGUUUAGGGUUUAGGGGUUUUAGGGUGUUAGGUUUAGGGUUAGGUUUAGGUUAGGUUUUAGGUUUAUGUUUAGGUUAGGGUUUUAGCGUUUAGGGUUUAGGGUUUAGGCGUUUAGGUUUAGGGUUUUAGGGUUUUAAGGGUUUAGGGUUUUAGGGUGUUAGGGUUAGGGUUUAGGGGUUUUAGGGUUAGGGUUUAGGGUUUAGGUAGGUUUAGGGUUUAGGGUUUAGGUUUUAGGGUUUAGGGUUUUAGCGGGUUUAGGGUUUAGGGUUAGGGUGUAGGGUUUAGGGUUUAGGGUUGUAGGGUUUAGGUUUAAGGUUUUAGGGUUUAGUUUAGUUUAGGGUUUAGGGUUAGGUUUAGGUUUUAGGUUUAGGUUUAGGUUUAGGGUUUAGGUUUAGGGUUUAGGGUUUAGGGUUUAGGGUUUAGGGUUUAGGGUUUUAGGGUUUAGGUUUAGGUUUAGGGUUUAGGGUUUAGGGUUUUAGGUUUAGGGUUUUAGGUUUAGGUUUUAGGGUUUAGGGUUUAGGGUUAGGGUUUAAGGGUUUAGGGUUCUAGGGUUUAGGGUUUAGCGUUUUAGGGUUUAGCGUUUAGGGGUUUAGGGUUUUAGGUUUAGGGUUUAGGGUUUUAGGGUUUAGGGUUAGGUUUUAGGGUUCUUAGGUUUAGGGUUUAGGUUUUAAGGGUUUAGGGUUUUUAGGGUUUAGGGUUUAGGGGUUUUAGCGGGUUUAGGGUUUAGGGUUUAGCGGUUUUAGUUUAGGGUUUCAGGGUUUAGGUUUAGGUUAGGGUUAGGGUUUAGAGGGUUUAAGGGUUAGGUUUAGGGUUUAGGUUUAGGUUUUAGGGGUUUAGGGUUUAGGGUUUUAGGGUUUAGGGUUUAGGGUUUUAGGGUUUAGGGUUUAGGUUUAGGGUUUAGGGUUUAGGGUUAGGGUUUGAGUUAGGUUUAGUUUUGGGUUUUAGGGUUUAGGUUUAGGUUUAGGUUUAGGGUUAGGGUUUAGGUUUAGGGGUUUUAGGUUUAGGUUUAGGGUUUAGGUUUAGGGUUUUAGGGUUUAGCGGUUUCAGGGUUUAGGGUUUUAGGGUUUAGCGGUUAAGGGUUUAGGUUUAGGGUUUAGGUUUAGGGUUUAGGGUUUAGGGUUACGGGGUUUAGCGGUUUAGGGGUUUAGGUUAGGUAGGGUUUAGGGUUUAGGGUUUAGGUUAGUUUAGGUUUAGUGUUUAGGUUUAGGGUUAGGGUUUAGGGUUAGGCGUUUUAGGGUUUAGGGUUUAGGGUUUAGGUUUCUUAGGGGUGUAGGGUUUAGGGUUAGGGUUUUAGGGUUUAGGGUUUUAGGUUUAGGUUAGGGUUCUAGGUUAGGUUUAGGGUUUAGGUUUUAGUUUAGGGUUUAGGGGUUUAGGGUUUAGGGUUUUAGGGUUUUAGGGUUUAGGGUUUAGGUUUUAGGUUUAGGGUUUAGGGUUUCGGGUUUAGGGUUUAGGUUUAGGGUUUUAGGGUUUAGGGUUAGCCGGUUAGGUUUAGGGUUUAGGGUUUAGGGGUCUAGGUUUUAGGGUUUAGGGUUUAGGGUUUAGCGGUUUAGGUUAGGGUUUAGGGUUUAGGGUUUAGGGUUUAGGUUUAGGGUUUAGGGUUUAGGGUUUAGGUUAGGGUUUAGGUUUAGCGGUUUAGGGGUUUUUUAGGGUUUAGGGUUUUUAGUGGUUUAGAGGUUUUUAGCGGUUUUAGGGUUUUAGGGUUUAGCGGUUUAGGGUUUAGGGUUUAGGGUUUAGGGUUUAGUGUUUAGGUUUAAGGGUUUAGGUUAGGGUUAGGUUAGGGUUUAGGUUUAUGGGUUUAGGUUAUAGGGUUUAGUAGGUUUAGGGUUUAGGUUAGGGAUUUAGGGUUUAGGUUUAGUUUUAGGGUUUAGAGUUUAGAGUUUAGGGUUUAGGGUUUAGGGUUAGUUAGGGUUUAGGGUUUAGGGUUUAGGGUUUAGGGUUUAGUUUGGUUAUAGGGGUUAGGAGUUUAGGUUUUAGGGUUUAGAGGUUUAGGGUUAGUGGAUUUUAGGGGUUUAGGUUUAGUGUUUAGGGGUUUAGGGGUUUAGAGUUAGGGUUUAGGGUUUAGGUUUAGGGUUUAGGUUAUAGGUUUAGUGUUAGGGUUUAGUUUAGGGUUUAGGGUUUAGAGAGUUUAGGUUUAGGUUUAGGGUUUAGGGUUUAGGGUUUAGGUUUUAGGGUUAGGGGUUUAGAGGUUUUAGCGUUUAGGGUUUAGCGGGUUUAGGGUUUAGGGUUUAGGAGUUUUAGAGGUUAUGGUUUAUAAGGGUUUUAGGUUUAGAGGUUUAGGGUUGUAAGUUUAGGGUUUAGUGUUUAAGGGUUUAGCGGAAUUAGAGUUAGGGUUUAGAAAUUUAGUUUUAGGUUAGGGUUUAGAGGUUUUAAUGGGGUUUAAGGUUAGGUGUUUAGUGGUUGGGUUUAGAGGUUUAGUGGUUUAGGUAUAGGGUUUCAGUGGCACGGGUUUAUGGUUUCCAGGGUUUUAGGGAUUAGGUUUAGGGCUUUAGGUGGUUUGUUGUGUAGUCUGCCAGGCGCGCGUAUUCAUUUUCUAGAGAUUUAGGGUUUAGGGUUUAGGUUUAGGGUUUAGGUUUAGGGUUUAAGGAUUAGGUUUAGGGUUUAAGGGUUUAGGUUUUGGUUAGGGUUUAGGGUUUUAGAGGUUUAGUGGUUGAGGGUUUCAGGGUUUAGUGGUUUAGGGUUAUAGAGGUUUAGUAUUAGGGUUUAGGUGUUAGUUUAGGUUUUAGGUUUAGGGUUGUAUGAGGUUAGGGUUUAGGACGUUAAGGGCUUUAGGGUUUAGGGGUUUUAGAGGUUUAGGGUUUAGCCGGUUUAGGGUUUAGGGUUUUGACGCGUUUAGCGGGUUUCAGGUUUAGGGUUUACGCGGUUUAGAGGUUAUAGGUUCUAGGGUUUAGGUUUAGGGUUUAGCGGUUUAGGGUUUAGGGCUUAGGAGGUUUAGGAGGUUUAGGGUUAGUCAGGUUUAGGGUUUUUAGGGUUUAGAGUUAGGGUUUAGGGUUAGUGGUUUAGGGUUUAGGUUUUAGGCUUAUAGGGUUUAGGUUUGCAGAGGUUUAGGGUUAGGGGUUUAUUCAACCGUGGUUUAGGGUUUAGGGUAUUAGGGGUCUUAGUGUUUAAUGCGGUUUACGGGUUUUAGAGUUAUAGGGUUUUAGGGUUUAGGGUUUUAGGGUUAGGAUUAGGUUAGGGUUUAGUGGUUUUAGGUUAGGGUUUAGGUUUAGUGGUUAGGUUUAGGGAUAUUGGUUUUAGGUCUAGGAGGUUCUUAGGUUUUAGGGUUUAGGGUUAAGGGUUUUAGGUAUUUUUAGGUUUUUAGGUAUUUAGGGUUUUAGGGUUUUGUUUUUAGAGCUUUAGGGUUUUAGGGUUUAGGGUUUAAGGGGUUUUAGGUAGGUUAGGGUUUAGGUGUUAGGGUUUAGGGUUUAGGUUUUAGGUUAUAGGUAUUAGGGUUUAGGGUUUAGGGUUUAGGGUUUGAGGGGAUUUAGCGGUUUAGGAUUUUUAGGGUUAUAGGGUAUUAGGGUUUAGGGUUUAAGGUUUAGGGUUUAGACUUGGGUUUUUAGGUUUAGGGUAGGGUUUUAGGGUUUUAGGGUUGUUUAAGGUUUUGAGUUUUAGGGUUUUAGGUUUUAGGUUUUAAGUUUUAGGGUUUUAGGGUUUUAGGUUUAGGGUUUUAGGGGUUUAGGGUUUAGGGUUUAGGUUUAAGGGUUUAGGGUUUAGGGUUUAGAGGUUUUAUGGGUUUAGGGUUUAUUGGUUAGGGUUUAGGGUUUAGGGAUUUUAGGGUAGUUGGUUAUAGGUUUAGGUUUUAGUGGUUUAGGUGGUAGUUUUAGGGAUUUAGGUAUUAGGGCUUAGGUUUAGUUUAGCGGGUUUAGGGUUUAGGUUUAGGGUUUAGGGUUUAGGAUGUUAGGGUUUAGGCUUUAGAGUUUUAGGUUUAGGGUUUAGUGGAUUUAGGGUUUAAGUGGUUUAGAGGUUUAGGGUUUAGGGGUUUAGGUUUAGGGUAUUAGGGGUUUAGGGUUCUAGGGUUUAGGUGUUUAGAGGGUUUUACGGGUUUAGCGGUUUAGGGUUAAUAGGGUUUUAGGGUUUAGGGUUUAGGUUUAGGGUUUAGGGUGUUAGUUUAGGGUUUAGGGUUAGGUUUAGGUUUAGUGGUUUAGGGUUUAGGGUUUAGGGGGGUUUUUAGGGAUUUAGUGUUUUAAGGGUUUUAGGUGUUUAGGGUUUAGGUGUUUAGGUUUUAGGGUUUAGGUUUAGAGGUUUAGGGUCUUAGGGUUUAGGGUUUAGGGUUUUAGGGUUAGGGUAUUUAGGUUUUAGGGUUUAGGGUUAGGGUUUAGGGUUUACGGUUUAGGGUUUUAGGGUUUAGGUUUUAGGGUUUAGGGUUUAGUGGUCUUAGUUUAGGUUAGGGUUUCGGGUUUAGGGUUUAGGUU
rnacentral:lncRNA from 1 species